AGAGUUUGAUCCUGGCUCAGGAUGAACGCUGGCGGCGUGCUUAACACAUGCAAGUCGAACGGGAAUUAUUUUAUUGAAACUUCGGUCGAUUUAAUUUAAUUCUAGUGGCGGACGGGUGAGUAACGCGUGGGUAACCUGCCUUAUACAGGGGGAUAACAGUCAGAAAUGGCUGCUAAUACCGCAUAAGCGCACAGAGCUGCAUGGCUCAGUGUGAAAAACUCCGGUGGUAUAAGAUGGACCCGCGUUGGAUUAGCUUGUUGGUGGGGUAACGGCCCACCAAGGCGACGAUCCAUAGCCGGCCUGAGAGGGUGAACGGCCACAUUGGGACUGAGACACGGCCCAGACUCCUACGGGAGGCAGCAGUGGGGAAUAUUGCACAAUGGAGGAAACUCUGAUGCAGCGACGCCGCGUGAGUGAAGAAGUAGUUCGCUAUGUAAAGCUCUAUCAGCAGGGAAGAUAGUGACGGUACCUGACUAAGAAGCUCCGGCUAAAUACGUGCCAGCAGCCGCGGUAAUACGUAUGGAGCAAGCGUUAUCCGGAUUUACUGGGUGUAAAGGGAGUGUAGGUGGCCAGGCAAGUCAGAAGUGAAAGCCCGGGGCUCAACCCCGGGACUGCUUUUGAAACUGCAGGGCUAGAGUGCAGGAGGGGCAAGUGGAAUUCCUAGUGUAGCGGUGAAAUGCGUAGAUAUUAGGAGGAACACCAGUGGCGAAGGCGGCUUACUGGACGAUAACUGACGCUGAGGCUCGAAAGCGUGGGGAGCAAACAGGAUUAGAUACCCUGGUAGUCCACGCCGUAAACGAUGAGUACUAGCUGUCGGAGGUUACCCCCUUCGGUGGCGCAGCUAACG
rnacentral:rRNA from 1 species